rnacentral:lncRNA from 1 species
CUUUGCUCUCCAUGAAAUUUCAGGAGGAGCAUCCACUGCCAUCCUGAAGCCUGGGUCCUGCCCUUCCCACACUUACCACGAGGGCAUCUCCAUCUCCCACCUGGAGGAACUCGAUCAAUGAGUUUCCUCAUUUCCAGGAAUGCCCUAAUUCCUUCCAGAAAUGACGGCUCCAUGGACCUUCCUGAAACACAGCUCACAUGCGAACCCCACUUCUCAGGAGCCUUCAGUGGUCUCAGCUCUGCAGGUUGGGCACGCUAACUGCUCUUCUCCCUCAACUGCUCCCUCCUUCCCUCCCUGCGGCUGAGCUCAGUCCUGACACAGGCUUCUUCCAUCUGCUGCACACCAAAGCCCACCACCCUUCAAGCUCCAGGGCAAAGCCAGCCCGAGCGCCAGUGUAAAUGCACCCCCUCCCUCCUGUGAGCUCCCACAGCACAUUUUGGUGCCAGGAGACGUGGUCUUGGGGGCAAUGGCACGCACGUCUGCAGCUGUAAGAAGAACCCGUCACCACCCGCCUGGGGGGUCAGGGCCAGGUGACCAGCUUCACACUCUGUUCCCUCAAACUGGACUCUGGUGGGGACAGGGCCAGGUGACCAGCUUCACACUCUGUUCCCUCAAACUGGCCUCUGGGGGGGACAGGGCUGGGGGGACAGGGCCAGGUGACCAGCUUCACACUCUGUUC